GGGGUUGUGGUUCAGUGGUGGAGCACUUGCUUAGCAAGCAUGAGGCACUGAGUUCGAUUCUUAGCUCCA
rnacentral:tRNA from 1 species